rnacentral:rRNA from 1 species
AGACGCUGGCGGCGUGCUUACACAUGCAAGUCGAACGAGGUCCAACCUUCGGGUGAAGACCGAGUGGCGAACGGGUGAGUAACACGUGGGGAACCUGCCCUUCUCUCUGGGAUAACGUCGAGAAAUCGGUGCUAAUACCGGAUACUCCUUGCGGAUCGCAUGGUCUGCUCGGGAAAGCUCCGGCGGAGAGGGAUGGCCCCGCGGCCCAUUAGCUAGUUGGUGAGGUAAUGGCCCACCAAGGCGACGAUGGGUAGCCGAGCUGAGAGGCUGAUCGGCCACACUGGGACUGAGACACGGCCCAGACUCCUACGGGAGGCAGCAGUGGGGAAUUUUGCACAAUGGGCGAAAGCCUGAUGCAGCAACGCCGCGUGCGGGAUGAAGGCCCUCGGGUUGUAAACCGCUUUCAGCAGGGACGAAUAUGACGGUACCUGCAGAAGAAGCCCCGGCUAACUACGUGCCAGCAGCCGCGGUAAUACGUAGGGGGCAAGCGUUAUCCGGAUUCAUUGGGCGUAAAGCGCGCGUAGGCGGCUUGUUAAGUCAGAUGUGAAAACCGGGGGCUCAACCCGCGGCCUGCAUCUGAAACUGGCAGGCUUGAGUCUGGUAGAGGAAAGUGGAAUUCCUGGUGUAGCGGUGAAAUGCGCAGAUAUCAGGAGGAACACCAGUGGCGAAGGCGGCUUUCUGGGCCACGACUGACGCUGAGGCGCGAAAGCUAGGGGAGCAAACAGGAUUAGAUACCCUGG